UUUAUUUACAUUAAUUUAAACAGGGAUUAUUAUUUUUUUAUGAAAUAUAUUAUGACAUAUUAUGUUAUGUGUCAAGCACUAGAUACGAGUCCAUAUGAAAUUACAUAAAUUUAAUAACUUUUCAAUUCUAAAUUAUAUUUAAUACGACAUGUCCGCUAUGAUUUCAGAUUUCCAUAUGACAGAGGAGAUUUUCCCCAAAGAACUUGACCAAUCAAUACAGGACCAACCGAGUAAUGGGGGUUGAUCUCCCAACUGGCUUUAGACUUAAAUCGAACCGUAGUCGCUCCGGUGCGCUACCAUACACGGUGACCACUGAGCCGUUGCGACCGUACGCCUAGCGAGUAUUGACGAAAAAAAAAAACGAGAUUUUUUCCAAAAAUCAAUGUGUAUAAUCGUGAAGUUUUCAUCAAAAUCGAUCAAGCUUAUUUCCACCCAACGGUAUCGAAUAUAAAGAAAAUCAUACUAAUAUUGUAUAUUUUGUAUUGUAACAAAUCGUCGUUACCUUUGUAAUAUUUUUAGUAGUAAUUUUUUUUUUGUUUAUUAUAUUCCAUAAGAUUAUGUGAUCGCUUGUAUAAAGAAAAAUCAUUAUUUUGCGUUUCUAUAUACAUAUAUAUAUAAAUAAGUGUAAAUAAUGUCACGCUGUAUGUCGGUAUGUUGCGCCGUUUUGUAGAAAAAGUAUUAUUUGACAAUAUAUAUAAAAAUCAGUUCGUUUUUAUUUCAUUGUUAUCUGUAUACCUAAAUGUUUAGCGGCCCGAUGGACGUGUAAUCGAUUUAUUGAUCAUUUAGAUUUAUAUAAAUAAAAUAUAAUUAAAAAAUCAUAUUAUUAUAUAUUUGUAUCAAAAUUUUUCUAAUAUUUGUAAUAGCUUUUUAUAUAAAAAAAUAAAUAAAUUAAAUUUCAAAAAAUAUACUAAAUGUAAAAACCACGGGUCCGUACACUAUUUAUUCCACGUUUGUACAAACAUACAAAAUAUUUUAUAUAUAGAUAUUAAGUGUAGAUUUUACCACAGUGCCCGAAAUAGCCCUUAGUACCUUGCUAAUGCCAUAUUUUAAAACAUAAUUGAUAAUAAAACCAAAAAAAUUAACAACAAAUAAAGCGUCGAUCGGUCCAGACAAAAAAUGGAUGGGUGACCGUUUUUUUCAAAUUACAAACAGCAUAGCGAUGUUUAUACAUUUAAGCUUUUUAAUAUAGGAAUUGAUGUUUCGGUUACUCGUAUUGAAAAUACGUUAAUUUAUGAUAAAUGUAUAAUUGUAUUAACAAGCUGUAUAUAAACAAAGUAUAUACAAUAGUAGUUCUCAGUGUACCUAAGUAUGUAACAUAGAAUAAACAUUGCCAUUGUAAA